UACGAAGGGGGCGAGCGUUGUUCGGAUUUACUGGGCGUAAAGGGCGCGCAGGCGGCUUAUUUUGUCAGGCGUGAAAGCCCCGGGCUUAACCUGGGAACUGCGUUUGAUACGGAUGGGCUAGAGUUCGGGAGAGGAGAGUGGAAUUCCCAGUGUAGAGGUGAAAUUCGUAGAUAGUCGGGAGGAACACCAGUAGCGAAGGCGGCACUCUGGGCCGGUACUGACGCUGAGGAGCGAAAGCGUGGGGAGCAAACAGG
rnacentral:rRNA from 1 species